UGGAAUUUAUAGUGUGAGUAGUUGUAUGUGGUUGACUCAUGAGUUAAACCCCUCACAGUCUGAGGAGAAUAUGUUCAAACAAAGCAAACAUCUCAAAGUAAAUGCCAAGCCCGGUGAAGACGUCACAGUCUCGGUCUCAGCCCAAAUCCAGUGGCAGCAGAUACAUUAUGCAUGACCAACAAGAUUUCUUUUUGCUCUUCUAUCUUGGCUGUUGCACAAGCAUAAACCCCAAUGGAACUAAGUAAUCAAAUACAGAUUUG
rnacentral:lncRNA from 1 species